rnacentral:rRNA from 1 species
GCGAAGCGCUUUAACGGAAUUCUUCGGAAGGAAGAUAAAGUGACUGAGCGGCGGACGGGUGAGUAACGCGUGGGUAACCUGCCUCAUACAGGGGGAGUAACAGUUAGAAAUGGCUGCUAAUACCGCAUAAGCGCACAGGACCGCAUGGUCUGGUGUGAAAAACUCCGGUGGUAUGGGAUGGACCCGCGUUGGAUGUCGACGCGGCCG